AGAGUUUGAUCCUGGCUCAGAACGAACGCUGGCGGCGUGGAUAAGACAUGCAAGUCGAGCGCUGGUUGCCGGGUAGCAAUAUUCGGCGAUUGGAGCGGCGCAAGGGUGCGUAACACGUGGGUAAUCUGCCGUGAAGUUUGGGAUAACUUGCUGAAAGGCGAGCUAAUACCGGAUGUGACCAUUGGGGGGCCUCCCUUGAUGGUUAAAGUUGGGACCGCAAGGCCUGACGCUUCAUGAUGAGCCCGCGGCCUAUCAGCUAGUUGGUGGGGUAACGGCCCACCAAGCCUUCGAUCAGUAACUGGUGUGAGAGCACGACCAGUCACACGGGCACUGAGACACGGGCCCGACUCCUACGGGAGGCAGCAGUAAGGAAUAUUGGUCAAUGGACGAGAGUCUGAACCAGCCAUGCCGCGUGAAGGAUGAAUGCCCUCUGGGUUGUAAACUUCUUUUAUAUGGGACGAAAAAAGACUUUCUAAGUCGCCUGACGGUACCAUAUGAAUAAGCACCGGCUAACUCCGUGCCAGCAGCCGCGGUAAUACGGAGGGUGCAAGCGUUAUCCGGAUUCACUGGGUUUAAAGGGUGCGUAGGUGGGUUGAUAAGUCAGUGGUGAAAUCUCCGAGCUUAACUUGGAAACUGCCAUUGAUACUAUCAGUCUUGAAUAUUGUGGAGGUCAGCGGAAUAUGUCAUGUAGCGGUGAAAUGCUUAGAUAUGACAUAGAACACCAAUUGGAAGGCAGCUGACUACGCAUAUAUUGACACUGAGGCACGAAAGCGUGGGGAUCAAACAGGAUUAGAUACCCUGGUAGUCCACGCCCUAAACUAUGGAUACUCGACAUUUGCGAUACACAGCAAGUGUCUGAGCGAAAGCAUUAAGUAUCCCACCUGGGAAGUACGAUCGCAAGAUUGAAACUCAAAGGAAUUGGCGGGGGUCCGCACAAGCGGUGGAACAUGUGGUUUAAUUCGAUGAUACGCGAGGAACCUUACCUGGCUAGAAUGCUGAUAGAUCGUGGGUGAAAGCUCAUUUUGUAGCAAUACACUGCCAGUAAGGUGCUGCAUGGCUGUCGUCAGCUCGUGCCGUGAGGUGUUGGGUUAAGUCCCGCAACGAGCGCAACCCCCAUCACUAGUUGCCAUCAGGUAACGCUGGGAACUCUAGUGAAACUGCCGUCGUAAGACGUGAGGAAGGAGGGGAUGAUGUCAAGUCAUCAUGGCCUUUAUGCCCAGGCUACACACGUGCUACAAUGAAAAGACAAAGGGCUGCAACACAGCGAUGUGAAGCUAAUCCCAAAAACCUUUUCUCAGUUCAGAUUGGAGUCUGCAACUCGACUCCAUGAAGCUGGAAUCGCUAGUAAUCGUAUAUCAGCAAUGAUACGGUGAAUACGCUCCCGGACCUUGUACACACCGCCCGUCAAGCCAUGGAAGUUGGGUGUACCUAAAGUCGGUAACCGCAAGGAGCUGCCUAGGGUAAAACUGGUAACUGGGGCUAAGUCGUAACAAGGUAACC
rnacentral:rRNA from 1 species